ensembl:miRNA Gm44493 predicted gene, 44493
AUAUAUGUGUGUGUGUGUGUGAAUAUAUAUGUAUACAUAUACACACACACACACACACACACACACACACACACACACACAC